GAUGAACGCUGGCGGCGUGCUUAACACAUGCAAGUCGAACGGAAAGGCCACAGCUUGCUGUGGUACUCGAGUGGCGAACGGGUGAGUAACACGUGGGUGAUCUGCCCUGUACUUCGGGAUAAGCUUGGGAAACUGGGUCUAAUACCGGAUAGGAAUCACAUGUGGGUGUGUGGUUGGAAAGCUUUUGCGGUAUGGGAUGAGCUCGCGGCCUAUCAGCUUGUUGGUGGGGUAAUGGCCUACCAAGGCGUCGACGGGUAGCCGGCCUGAGAGGGUGUACGGCCACAUUGGGACUGAGAUACGGCCCAGACUCCUACGGGAGGCAGCAGUGGGGAAUAUCGCACAAUGGGCGCAAGCCUGAUGCAGCGACGCCGCGUGGGGGAUGACGGCCUUCGGGUUGUAAACUCCUUUCGUCAGGGACGAAGCGAAAGUGACGGUACCUGGAUAAGAAGCACCGGCUAACUACGUG
rnacentral:rRNA from 1 species